rnacentral:rRNA from 1 species
UCUUUUUAUUUUAUUUUAUUUUAUUUUAUUUUAUUUUAUUUUAAUUAAAGUAUUUUUUUUUUAUUUUUGAAAAAAUUUUAUUAAUUAUAGUUUAUUAGUACAGUAGUGGGAUAAUUUUUUUGAUUUUAAAAGAAGACUUUAUUUUUCGUACCUUGUGUAUCAGGGUUUAUUAAUUAUGUAUUGAGUAUUUGAUUUUCCCGAAUUAUUAUGAUUUAGUUUUCUAUAUAUUUUAUUGUAAAAUAAAUAUUUAUUAUAGGAGAUUUGAAGUGAAACGUUAUUCGUAUAGUAGUAUAUCUGGUUUUAUUGUAAUUUUAUUUAAUUAUAUCUUAAUAGAAGAAUUUUUUUAAAUAAAAAUUGAGAUUUUCGUUGAGUUGAAGUUUUAAGGGGAUAAGCUCUUAGAUUUUUUUUAUAAUUUUUAUUUUAGGUUUUUUUGUAGGAUUAGAAUUUUUCUUCUUUAUUAAGUAAUAUUUACGUGACUAUUAAAUUAAAUUUUUAUUUUUUUUAAAUUUUUUACAAUGAAGUUAAUUUAAAUUUUUAUUGUUAAUUUAUAAUGAUAGAAUUAGUAUAUUUAUUUAUAUUUCUAAUGUUUUUUUUUUAGUUAAUUUAAAGGAAUUCGGCAAAUUCUUUUUUGCCUGUUUAUUAAAAACAUGUCCUUGUGUUUAGGAUGCAAGGUCUAGUCUGCCCAAUGAUUUUUUAAAUGGCCGCGGUAUUUUAACCGUGCAAAGGUAGCAUAAUCAUUAGUUUUUUAAUUGAUAACUGGAAUGAAUGGCUGGACAAGAGAAGCACUGUCUCUGAAUUAUUUUUAGAAUUUUAUUUUUAAGUUAAAAAGCUUAAAUUUUAUUGGAAGACGAGAAGACCCUAUAGAGUUUUACUUUAAAUUAUCUAUUUUAUUUAUGGAAAUUUAUUUUUAAUUUGUUAUUUAUAGUUUUGUUGGGGUGACAGGGAAAUUUGUAAAACUUUCUUGAUUUUAUUUAUUUAUUUAUAUUUAUAUGAUCCAUUUUUUAUGAUUUUUAGAUUUAAUUACCUUAGGGAUAACAGCGUUAUUUUCCUUUAGAGUUCUAAUCGAUGGGGAAGAUUGCGACCUCGAUGUUGGAUUAAAAUUAACUUUUGGUGUAGAAGCUGAGGUGUUUGGUCUGUUCGACCUUUAAAAUUUUACAUGAUCUGAGUUUAGACCGGUGUGAGCCAGGUUGGUUUCUAUCUCCAAUUUUAUGAUUAGUCUAGUACGAAAGGACCGGCUUUUCAAUAAAUUAUUUUAUUUUGCUUAUUU